GAUGAACGCUGGCGGCGUGCCUAAUACAUGCAAGUCGAGCGAACAGAUGAGGAGCUUGCUCCUCUGACGUUAGCGGCGGACGGGUGAGUAACACGUGGAUAACCUACCUAUAAGACUGGGAUAACUUCGGGAAACCGGAGCUAAUACCGGAUAAUAUAUUGAACCGCAUGGUUCAAUAGUGAAAGACGGUUUUGCUGUCACUUAUAGAUGGAUCCGCGCCGCAUUAGCUAGUUGGUAAGGUAACGGCUUACCAAGGCAACGAUGCGUAGCCGACCUGAGAGGGUGAUCGGCCACACUGGAACUGAGACACGGUCCAGACUCCUACGGGAGGCAGCAGUAGGGAAUCUACCGCAAUGGGCGAAAGCCUGACGGAGCAACGCCGCGUGAGUGAUGAAGGUCUUCGGAUCGUAAAUCUCUGUUAUUAGGGAAGAACAAAUGUGUAAGUAACUAUGCACGUCUUGACGGUACCGAAUCAGAAAGCCACGGCUAACUACGU
rnacentral:rRNA from 1 species